GAAACUCAAGGAAUUGACGGGGCCCGCACAAGCGGUGGAGCAUGUGGUUUAAUUCGACGCAACGCGAAGAACCUUACCAGGGCUUGACAUCCCCUGACCGCGUAUGAAAGUACGUUUUCACCUCGGGUGACAGGGAGACAGGUGGUGCAUGGUUGUCGUCAGCUCGUGUCGUGAGAUGUUGGGUUAAGUCCCGCAACGAGCGCAACCCCUACGUUUAGUUGCUAACGCGUGAAGGCGAGCACUCUAGACGAACUGCCGUUGACAAAACGGAGGAAGUGGGGAUGACGUCAAAUCAUCAUGCCCCUUAUGUUCUGGGCUACACACGUGCUACAAUGGCCGGUACAGACGGACGCAAAGCCGCGAGGUGGAGCAAAUCCUAAAAAGCCGGUCUCAGUUCGGAUUGCAGGCUGCAAUUCGCCUGCAUGAAGUCGGAAUCGCUAGUAAUCGCAGGUCAGCAUACUGCGGUGAAUACGUUCCCGGGCCUU
rnacentral:rRNA from 1 species